rnacentral:misc_RNA from 1 species
GCGCCACGCCGCGACCGAAAGACGACCCGCGUCAAACCACGCGCGCUCCGCGCACUGGACAGCACGGGCCCGCCGACACGAGGUUCUGCGAAAGGAUUCCGGCGCGUGAAGGCGUGCGGUGCGAGUGACUUGCUGCAGCGAGGGCCGCAACCCCGGGCACGCGGCAUCGGAGGAGAAGAGGCGGACCGCGGCCCAAGACCGGCAACAAAGCGGCAUGCCGCCUCGUCGAAGAGCAGCGCAGGCAUCGUGGGAUGGCAUUAAGAUACACAUGUGCAAGACCAGGAUCACAGACCGACAUGGAUGGCAGUUCAGAGGCUGUGACCAAAGAGGGAAGGAUGAGUCACUCGAGGCGUCACAAAGGAACUGGCGACUCUGCCCCGAGAUCAGGCAAGGCGCUUCCGAGAAUGACGUCACCUGAGGCUACAACAUAGCAAGCCCGCACUCAGCUCUGCCGUGAAGACUCACUAUCGAUAUGCCUACUCAGACGAGGGUCCGGCAGUGAAGGCAGUUUCCAAGAGAACUUGGGUGUAGAAGAAAACCGCUUGAGAUAAUUGGAACCCCUUGACGACAGCCACUGAAGCUAUACCAAGCUUGGAAGUAUUGAUACAUCUACAUGUAGGAAACUGCCAAAACGGCUGUUCUCGGAACGUUUUCUGAAAUUCGAGUUGACCAAGAGUUUCGGGGACAAAUGUCAAUCACAAGUAUAACUAAGCUUGCCCGCCCGACCAGUCACGGAGGAGGGCUCAGAGCUUACCUGUCCAGGAUCACAAGAGGGUCACGGCCCACCAGGACAUUCACAAAGCCAUCACUAGCCACAGCCCAGGGUCUCGGAAGACUUCACUGCUCACUCCUGGUAAAGAAGCUCGCUUAGUUAAGGGGCCCAGUUUUACGAACUCUCAGCAGUCACCAGUCGAUAAGGACAAGGGAACUGAGCACAGUUGCCGUCGUACGAGUUGGCGACGUUUUGAGAAGGUUCUACACCGCAACAGCGUAGUUCUUAGCCAGGACAUACAACAAGUGGGUCCUAAAUUGCAACGGUACUCCCUGUCGGCCAAUAUACCCAGAAAGUGACCUCGACCUCACCCACUGACUUCAAAGAUGCACAGUCGUCAGUACGAGCUCGGAAGACAGCAAGGAACUACAAGUCAACGACGGUUCUCACAACAGCGCAGUCUUCAAAAUGACUUUUAUCCCCGACUGCCGGGAAUGCGAAGUGAUCGAGAGCUGGCGCAUGAUCAGAAGACACGGGAGAACACACAGCACAGCCCGCCACGAAAUCCUGCAUCCAGGACAACAUCGCUGCAGGCGCCAACAUGUAUGGCCUCGCGCCGUCCACGAGAGAAUCUGGCGGCUUCGCAUCACGAAAGCCUUCUGCUGGUGCCAUAUUCUCGCUUAACACAGUCCCAGGCACAUAAUCAACGAAGAACGGCGACGUUUCGGAUCGCGCCAGCCCUGGUGGCCCCCACAUCCAUGCAGGCAGGCAUCACACUCGACCCCUGCCGCAACACCGGGAAAGUACCGUGGCUAGGACCAAGGAGUGACGCAAAACCGCCCACCAAGGAUACAAGAUCCCUGACGGUGCGAGAGCAGACGACACGACGCCCACGACGUCGUUGCAGGCGCCGGCGAAGCAGACGACGUAGAUUGACCGAUGGCGAUGCAGAAGCGCGGCAAAAGGUCGAGCGAAACUAGGAUCCCCCCCCCCCCCCCCUUUCCUCUUCUUUCACUUUUGACCUCGCCAAUCUGUAGCGUAGCGCGGCCAAUUUCGAUCGAGUAACCCACUUUCUAUAAAUAAUGCGCGCGAAGAAAAAUAAACACGACGUUAGCUGAC